UCCGAUGCGAUGGCCAUGUCAGUCGGUCCAUCACCGGAGACCGGGACGUUCGUCGUUCCUCGUCGACGCUGCCGUGCACCGGCCGCGGAGGAGUGGCCGUCGUCAGGGACGACGACAAACCUACACAGAGGGGUGCCAGGCGCUGCCACGCCAGCCGGUGGGCGCGAGGCGGCGGUGCGGCGAGGAAAUGCGUGGUUGGAGUCAUGGAGUUGGAGAUGGCCCUCGUCAUCGUCCGGCCGCGUGCCGGGUCGCUUCGUUUGUCUGCGGCAUUUCCGACGCCACCUCCACUCGUCCCGUCCAGUGGAAGCCUCGGCUGGGCUGCCUCGCCAGGUGAGCUCUCGCUCGCCUGCCCUGCCCACCAGGUGCUUGUGUUUAUUCCCGCCCGCCUCCUAGCUUGAGCAUUGAGCUAGUGACUACUCACGGACUCCUCAAAAAAUAAUGUUCCCAUAGGAUUGAUGCACCGGCUGGUUGCCCAUCAUCUACCAGAAUUACAUGGUUGGUUCUUGGACAUGUCAAAGGUUGGUGGAGGGAACACAUAGUAGAUGCUGUUAGUUAUAGGAUGUUCAACGAUCACAGGGGCCAAUGGACUAUUCAGCAUAAAGGAUGCGACCACGACCUGGAAACAUGCCGUUGACCAGAGUAUCCUUCUAUGGCACAUCGCAGCAGACCUAUGUUUUUACCAAAAGGGCAUCCCAUCAGUUAGUUAUGAAAUAGCCACAGGAUGCAGAUACAUCUACUGUUCACCAAUCUUGAUAUUCUAUUGUCUGGCACUAGACGAAAUCUGUUCCUAAUCGCUAAUCCCAUACUAGAGAAAAUUCUCAAGGAUGAAAAACUAUUGCUCAAGAAAAUCAUUCAGGGCAAUAACCCAUCACUCAUGGAGAUCUUCAAGUGCAAUGAGCCAUUCCUCCAGUACCUCAAGGGGAAAAAAACACCAUCGCUACAGGAGAUCGAAAGAUGACUUACAGACAGAAUAAUCAGUAAGUUGCAGGUCACAUAAUACAGAGAAGCAGUUGAACACGCAUAAUCACCACUGUAUGGAGAUAUGCCUAGAAGAUUCCUGCAGUACCUCAAGUGCAAUGAGCCAUUCCUCCAGUACCUCAAAAAGGUUUUAUUAUCUAAGAUGCCUGGAAGAUUUGUAAAGCGUUGUUGGCUUUAGGUGAUGAGAAGAUGUCGGAGGUAAUUUAAGGUUGGUGGGUGGAGAUGCUCUGCUUUUCUGCCAGUAGGUGCCCAGGGUACCUACAUGCCAAGAGCAUGGGCUCUGCCAUGGAAUUACUCACUUAUGUCUGGUGUUCCUGCUGUCACGCAUGGGUAUGGAGAACUUGCCUGAGAGGCUGCUGAUGACAAAGCGUCCAAGCUGAGGGGGAAACACCAAGGUCGAUCCAGCGCAGCCACUAGGGAAGAAGCAUUGUUUAACCUAAGAUGCUUACGAAAACCAUUUGUACCCUGCAUUUCGAUAUUAGUUGCUUUUUUUUUUUGCUUUCCUGUGGAGUACUUGUCUUAGUUGUUCAUCGUGAGUACAUGUUAAACAUGGAAAAAUGGAACAAGAGGGGGCGAGCAGGGUUUUUAAUUUUUAGUUACAGAAGCUGUUUAUCGGCUCUCUGAUGUUCCUUCAGUUGAAUUAAGAGCCACAUAAUGUAUGUAUAGAUUUUGUAUUACAGCCUUAUCAGUCUACCUGAUCCAUGUCUGUAGGAGUUUUGAUUUCGUGUGAGAAGUUCAUUUGAAUAUUUCAUUACCAUGUUGAUAUAUUGUAUUCCAAUGCAAUGUCUGCAUUAACCAUCUAGUGUUUGAUUCUUUCAUUUUUUUAAAUUACGGAGUACUACAGUUUGAUGCUAUCAGUAUCUGUUGGUAUGCUGUUAGAACUUACCAGGCUCCCUCUCAUUUCUACAUUGAGCGUUUCUGUGGCACGGAUGGCCCAUGUUAAAUUCUAUGAUAAACGAUCCACGCAGUCUUCAGCUACAUAUCAGUUCUUGGCGACAACCCACAGAGCGUAUGCCACCUGUAAAAUUCGCCGAUCAGUUCCUUCAGUUGAGGAGGAAAAGAAUCAACAUGGACCAUUUCUGAGGGGUGCGAGCCAUCUCCGCGUCAGCGCGAGGCAGGAAUAAAUUCCAUGCGGUGGCGAAGGAGCGAUGGAUCACCUUGUCAGACAGCUGACUGUGUGGCACUAUGUUGGCCGAUAGUCGCUCCUCUGCGCCACCAGCUUUAAUGCGUGCCCCACUCCAGUUUGUUGGAAGCGAACCAUGGAUGAAUCCUCACUGGUUGGUACCGGUGGUAGGCCACCCAUCAAGUGCCCUCAGGCCUUAGGGAAAAGGAUCAACAUCGAGCAUCUCGGAGGUUGGCAGCAAGGAAGAAUGUUUGGCCGUUGCCAGCUGGAGAAUUUUCUUCUUCUUUUUCUUGUUACGCAACAGAAUGUUGCAGUCGGCGUGGCGCCUAAAGUUUCCUUCAGGGAGCAGACACGGUUCGGCCCACUGAAAGCAUGUGCUGGUUCUGUCCUCUGUAGUUACUUGUGUUCUGUUUCUUCUU